GUAGGCCUCAAGUGAUG
rnacentral:rRNA from 1 species